GAUGAACGCUGGCGGCGUGCCUAAUACAUGCAAGUCGAGCGAACAGACGAGGAGCUUGCUCCUCUGACGUUAGCGGCGGACGGGUGAGUAACACGUGGAUAACCUACCUAUAAGACUGGGAUAACUUCGGGAAACCGGAGCUAAUACCGGAUAACAUGUUGAACCGCAUGGUUCAACAGUGAAAGACGGUCUUGCUGUCACUUAUAGAUGGAUCCGCGCCGCAUUAGCUAGUUGGUAAGGUAACGGCUUACCAAGGCAACGAUGCGUAGCCGACCUGAGAGGGUGAUCGGCCACACUGGAACUGAGACACGGUGCAGACUCCUACGGGAGGCAGCAGUAGGGAAUCUUCCGCAAUGGGCGAAAGCCUGACGGAGCAACGCCGCGUGAGUGAAGAAGGUCUUCGGAUCGUAAAACUCUGUUAUUAGGGAAGAACAAAUGUGUAAGUAACUAUGCACGUCUUGACGGUACCUAAUCAGAAAGCCACGGCUAACUACGUG
rnacentral:rRNA from 1 species